rnacentral:rRNA from 1 species
UACGAGGGGGGCAAGCGUUGUUCGGAUUUAUUGGGCGUAAAGGGUGCGUAGGCGGUCUGGCAAGUCUUGUGUGAAAUCUUCGGGCUCAACCCGAAGUCUGCACAAGAAACUGCCGGGCUUGAGUAUGGGAGAGGGUCGUGGAAUUCCCGGUGUAGCGGUGAAAUGCGUAGAGAUCGGGAGGAACACCAGAGGCGAAGGCGGCGACCUGGACAGUGACUGACACUCAACUACGAAAGCGUGGGGAGCAAACAGG